GCACCCCGGGCCCCAGGAGCACCCCCCGGGACCAGGACCCCCCAAGGGCAAGCCCCCGGGCCAAGCCCCCCGGGACGCAUCCCCCACCCCCGCCCGGGACCCGGCCACGGCCCAGCAGGACCGCACAGCCCCGGACAGCCCACGGCCAGCAGCCCAGGGCCCGCCGCCCGCCGCCCCCCGGACAGCGCCAGCCACGGAGCAGCGCCCCCCGCCGGCCCGCGAGCAACCGGCGAUCCCCACCGCGGGGACGGAGGCACCCCAAUGGCACACAUCAAGUGCGGGACAGCAGCCCCCAGCCAAAGAUGCCCCGGACCCACCCACCAGUCCGCAAACGGCAGGAUAGACCCACCAGGCGGCCGACAGCAACCUCCACCACCGGAACAGCUAGCGCCGCCCCCCAGUAAACAGCAUCACCCCGAGGCGCCAAGCAACCCCGCCCCAACCCCGGCGAGGACACCAGCACACCCCCAGCACACCCACCCCCCAAACCGGCGAGGCAGGCCGCCCCGGGCCCGCACACCGCGGGGCCCGCCCCCAAGGCCACCAGGAGACGAAACAAGCACCCAGCCACACCCAAGGGGAGGAAGCACCCCCGCGCCCCACCAGGCCGACACCGCCCGGAAAGACCCCGCAAGGAGAGACCCCAGCAAAGCCCCCCCGAGACCCACCGCCACGCCCGACCGCACCAUCCUGAUGUAUUUUUACUCUAAGCAGUGGCCCAGCCACCAACAGAGGAGCCAGGCCCCCACCGGAGAGGCCCAAAUAUGUGAACCAACCCACCACCCUGUUAUGGUGCCUCUCCAUUCCCCAAUGGAGAGGCACUUCCCUAUCCCCUGUGUGAAUGUGUGUUUAGUGAAUGUAUGGGGUGUAAUUAAAAGAAGGGGGAAGGAGGGGAGCGGUGCUCCCCAUCCUGCCUCUGUGGAUAUAUGUGUAUGUGGUGUAAUAGGCCGGAGGGUGUAGGUGAGUACACCCUCCGGGGGGUGGCAUGUUGAAGUGCGAUUAAAAUUGGAGGGAUUAGUAUGGUAACUAGAGGUGGGAGUGCCGCCCCC
rnacentral:lncRNA from 1 species